rnacentral:rRNA from 1 species
UCAGGAUGAACGCUAGCGGCAGGCUUAACACAUGCAAGUCGAGGGGUAACGAUUUUGAGUAAUCAAAAGGCGACGACCGGCGCACGGGUGAGUAUCGCGUUUGUAACCUACCUCUGACUGGAGCAUAGCCCGAAGAAAUUCGGAUUAAUACUCCAUAAUACUGCGAGAAGGCAUCUUUUUUCAGUUAAAGCUUCGGCGGUCAGAGAUGGGCAUGCGUAACAUUAGCUGGUUGGUGAGGUAACAGCUCACCAAGGCUACGAUGUUUAGGGGGUCUGAGAGGAUGGUCCCCCACACUGGUACUGAGACACGGACCAGACUCCUACGGGAGGCAGCAGUGAGGAAUAUUGGUCAAUGGGCGAAAGCCUGAACCAGCCAUGCCGCGUGAAGGAUGACGGCCCUAUGGGUUGUAAACUUCUUUUAUACGGGAAGAAACCCCUCUACGUGUAGGGGGCUGACGGUACCGUACGAAUAAGCAUCGGCUAACUCCGUGCCAGCAGCCGCGGUAAUACGGAGGAUGCAAGCGUUAUCCGGAUUUAUUGGGUUUAAAGGGUGCGUAGGCGGAAAAUUAAGUCAGUGGUGAAAUCCUGCAGCUUAACUGUAGAAUUGUCAUUGAUACUGGUUUUCUUGAAUACAGUUGAGGUAGGCGGAAUGAGUAAUGUAGCGGUGAAAUGCUUAGAUAUUACUCAGAACACCAAUUGCGAAGGCAGCUUACUAAACUGUGAUUGACGCUGAGGCACGAAAGCGUGGGGAGCGAACAGGAUUAGAUACCCUGGUAGUCCACGCCGUAAACGAUGAUCACUCGUUGUUGGCAAUACACCGUCAGCGACUGAGCGAAAGUAUUAAGUGAUCCACCUGGGGAGUACGAUUGCAAGAUUGAAACUUAAAGGAAUUGACGGGGGCCCGCACAAGCGGAGGAGCAUGUGGUUUAAUUCGAUGAUACGCGAGGAACCUUACCUGGGCUUGAACGUAUGGUGCAUGAGUGUGAAAGCACUCUUUCCUUCACAGGACUUCAUACGAGGUGCUGCAUGGUUGUCGUCAGCUCGUGCCGUGAGGUGUUAGGUUAAGUCCUGCAACGAGCGCAACCCCUGUUUUUAGUUGCCAGCAGGUUAUGCUGGGCACUCUAGAAAGACUGCCUGCGCAAGCAGAGAGGAAGGUGGGGAUGACGUCAAAUCAGCACGGCCCUUACGUCCAGGGCUACACACGUGCUACAAUGGUCGGCACAGAGGGUGGCUACCCGGCAACGGGAUGCUAAUCUCCAAAGUCGAUCUUAGUUCGGAUCGAAGUCUGCAACUCGACUUCGUGAAGUUGGAUUCGCUAGUAAUCGUAUAUCAGCCAUGAUACGGUGAAUACGUUCCCGGGCAUUGUACACACCGCCCGUCAAGCCAUGGAAGUUGGGGGUACCUGAAGUCGAUUACC